rnacentral:lncRNA from 1 species
GUGUCAACUGGAACCGGGCAGAGAUUUUGAAGCCUAUUGUGGCUCCGACUCGGCCGUGUGUGCGGGAGGCCGUGCGAAUGGACGUCGGUGCGCGCAGCCGGGACAUUGUUGGUGGUAGAGCGGCCAUCGAGUUGCCGGCAGCAUGGAGGUGCUUGGUGGACGGCGCCCAAAGAUCGUGGACCCGUGCACCGGCUGAUUUGGCAGCCCUUGGGCCUCCACCUUUACUGGGACACUCCUGCACCGGUCCUGUGUCCUUCCAUUUUUGCCCGUGGAGCUACUUUUUUCCAUCCACAUGACCCCUAGUUAAGCG